rnacentral:lncRNA from 1 species
GAGCCAAGCUAGUAGUAUUCACUAGAUAGUUGCAAGAGUUUGAAAUUGAUCUUUUAAUUGAUUUACAUAGAAUUUAGACGCUCAUAACCCAUAACCUCUAACCACUCAUAUAUAUUGAAUCUCAUGAUCAAUGUAGUAUCAUUUGAAUGAUGGAAAUUCAAACCAAUUAUUCAUAAAAUAUCAAUGUUUUUAUAUAGUCGGGGAAAAUAAUAUAUGGUAUGGAAGUAAGAAAAUUAAAUAUUGUUUAGAUGUUGAUAUAGCAAGUAUCUCUAACUAUUUGGUGUUGCUUAUGGGAAGAUACUGUAAAAUAUUACUCUGGCACCAUAAGAUGCCAUUCUAACUCUAUGAGAUAUGUAUCACCACAAUGUAGUAGGUAACUCAACCUAUAUAACAUUGCUGAUGGGAAAAUAACAUAAGAUAUCACUCCAAUUUUAUGAGAUAUGAUCACGUUGUAGUAGAUACCUCUAACUAUCUGGUGUUGCUGACAGGAAGAUAUCAUAAGAUACCACUCCAACUUUGUGAGAUAUAACCAUGAUGGAGUAGGUACCUAUAACAAUCUGGUGUUGCUGACGGGAAGAUAUCAUAAGAUACCACUCCAACUUUGUGAGAUAUAACCAUGAUGGAGUAGGUACCUAUAACAAUCUGGUGUUGCUGACGGGAAGAUAUCAUAAGAUACCACUCCAACUUUGUGAGAUAUAACCAUGAUGGAGUAGGUACCUAUAACAAUCUGGUGUUGCUGACGGGAAGAUUUCAUAAGAUACCACUCCAAAUUUAUGAGAUAUAACCACGAUGUAGUAGGUACCUCUAACUAUCUGGCGUUGUUGACGAGAAGAUAUCAUCAGAUACCAUUCCAACUUUGUGAGAUAUAACCAUGAUGGAGUAGGUACCUAUAACAAUCUGGUGUUGCUGACGGGGAGAUUUCAUAAGAUACCACUCCAACUUUAUGAGAUAUAACCACGAUGUAGUAGGUACCUCUAACUAUCUGGCGUUGUUGACGAGAAGAUAUCAUCAGAUACCAUUCCAACUUUGUGAGAUAUAACCAUGAUGGAGUAGGUACCUAUAACAAUCUGGUGUUGCUGACGGGGAGAUUUCAUAAGAUACCACUCCAACUUUAUGAGAUAUAACCACGAUGUAGUAGGUACCUCUAACUAUCUGGCGUUGUUGACGAGAAGAUAUCAUCAGAUACCAUUCCAACUUUGUGAGAUAUAACCAUGAUGGAGUAGGUACCUAUAACAAUCUGGUGUUGCUGACGGGGAGAUUUCAUAAGAUACCACUCCAACUUUAUGAGAUAUAACCACGAUGUAGUAGGUACCUCUAACUAUCUGGCGUUGUUGACGAGAAGAUAUCAUCAGAUACCAUUCCAACUUUGUGAGAUAUAACCAUGAUGGAGUAGGUACCUAUAACAAUCUGGUGUUGCUGACGGGGAGAUUUCAUAAGAUACCACUCCAACUUUAUGAGAUAUAACCACGAUGUAGUAGGUACCUCUAACUAUCUGGCGUUGUUGACGAGAAGAUAUCAUCAGAUAAAAUUCCAACUUUUUGAGAUAUAACCAUGAUGGAGUAGGUACCUAUAACAAUCUGGUGUUGCUGACGGGGAGAUUUCAU